rnacentral:rRNA from 1 species
CCUACGGGAGGCAGCAGUAGGGAAUCUUCCACAAUGGGCGAAAGCCUGAUGGAGCAACGCCGCGUGGGUGAAGAAGGUCUUCGGAUCGUAAAACCCUUUUGUUAGAGAAGAAAGUGCGUGAGAGUAACUGUUCACGUUUCGACGGUAUCUAACCAGAAAGCCACGGCUAACUGCGUGCCCGCAGCCGCGGUAAUACGUAGGUGGCAAGCGUUGUUCGGAUUUAUUGGGCGUAAAGGGAACGCAGGCGGUCUUUUAAGUCUGAUGUGAAAGCCUUCGGCUUAACCGGAGUAGUGCAUUGGAAACUGGGAGACUUGAGUGCAGAAGAGGAGAGUGGAACGCCAUGUGUAGCGGUGAAAUGCGUAGAUAUAUGGAAGAACUCCAGUGGCGAAAGCGGCUCUCUGGUCUGUAACUGACGCUGAGGUUCGAAAGCGUGGGUAGCAAACAGGAUGAGAUACCCGGGUAGUC